ACGAACGCUGGCGGCAUGCCUAACACAUGCCAGUCGAACGAGACCUUCGGGUCUAGUGGCGCACGGGUGCGUAACGCGUGGGAACCUGCCUUUAGGUUCGGAAUAACUCAGAGAAAUUUGAGCUAAUACCGGAUGAUGUCUUCGGACCAAAGAUUUAUCGCCUUUAGAUGGGCCCGCGUUGGAUUAGCUAGUUGGUGGGGUAAAGGCCUACCAAGGCGACGAUCCAUAGCUGGUCUGAGAGGAUGAUCAGCCACACUGGGACUGAGACACGGCCCAGACUCCUACGGGAGGCAGCAGUGGGGAAUAUUGGACAAUGGGCGAAAGCCUGAUCCAGCAAUGCCGCGUGAGUGAUGAAGGCCUUAGGGUUGUAAAGCUCUUUUACCCGAGAUGAUAAUGACAGUAGCGGGAGAAUAAGCGCCGGCUAACUCCGUG
rnacentral:rRNA from 1 species